UAAGUGUACCGGAAGGUGCACUUGGAACCGAAAUGUAGUUUAAUAAAAACCACUUGCUUACACCAAGUUAAUAUCUGUGAAACUCAGACCAUUUCGAGCCUAAACUCUAGCCCCUCAUACACACAAAAUUACAACAAUUACCGCUACUCAUUAACUAAAACAUUUUUAAAAUCUAGUAGAGGCGAUCAAAAAACUUUUAGGAGCUAUAAAACAGUACCGCAAGGGAACAAUGAAAUAGAAAUGAAAUAACACUAAAGCACACUAUAGUAGAGAUAAAACCUCGUACCUUUUGCAUCAUGGUCUAGCAAGUCCAAUCAAGCAAAACGAUUUAUAGUUUGACUUCCCGAAACCAGGCGAGCUACUUCAAGGCAGCUUUUAGAGCCAACCCAUCUCUGUGGCAAAAGAGUGGGACGACCUUCAAGUAGGGGUGAUAGACCUAACGAGCUUGGUGAUAGCUGGUUGCUUAAGAAACGGACCUUAGUCCACCCUUAAAUUACCUCAACUCUAGCUAGUAGAACUUUAAUUUAAGAGCCAUUCUAAUAAGGUACAGCUUAUUAGAACCAGGACACAACCUCAAUACCAGGGUAAUGCCUUCCUCAAUGUGUCUUAGUAGGCCUAAAAGCAGCCAUCUCAACAAAAAGCGUCAUAGCUUAAACACAAUAUUACCUAAAUUCCACAACUAUUUCAGAACCCCACUACAGUAUUAAGCAAUUCUAUAACCUCUAUAGAAGCACUAAUGCUAGAACUAGUAAUAAGAAUCACAUUCUCUCCAAUACAAGUGUAAAUCAGAAUGGACACACCACUGAUGAUUAACGCCCAUGAACCAAUCGUAACAACCCACCAAGAAAAACUUACCACAAUUAACGUUAACCUAACACAAGAGUAUUCCGAGAAAGAUUAAAAAAAAAGGAAGGAACUCGGCAAAUAUUAACCUCGCCUGUUUACCAAAAACAUCGCCUCUUGUAAACCUAUAAGAGGUCCAGCCUGCCCAGUGACUCUGUUCAACGGCCGCGGUAUCCUGACCGUGCGAAGGUAGCGUAAUCACUUGUUCUUUAAAUAAGGACUAGUAUGAAUGGCACCACGAGGGUUAUACUGUCUCCCUUUUUUAAUCUAUGAAACUAAUCUCCCCGUGAAGAAGCGGGGAUGCCUCUAUAAGACGAGAAGACCCCAUGGAGCUUAAGACUAACAGCAUAUGCUAAUUAUUCUUCCACUCACAACAAUUAAUCAAGCAUUUUGACUUCUAGUUUUCGGUUGGGGCGACCACGGAGAAUAACCAAUCCUCCGCGCUGAAAGGACUUUGUCCUAAACCACAAGCUACAUCUUUAAGUAUCAUCAACUUGACAUUCAUUGACCCAAUAAAUUUGAUCAACGAACUUAGUUACCCUGGGGAUAACAGCGCAAUCCACUUCAAGAGCCCUUAUCGACAAGUGGGUUUACGACCUCGAUGUUGGAUCAGGGUAUCCCAGUGGUGCAGCCGCUACUAAAGGUUCGUUUGUUCAACGAUUAAAACCCU
rnacentral:rRNA from 1 species